CGCGUAUAUAAGGGCCUGUUCCUCCAGUUUCCUCACCAUUCGCCUUUCUGAAGCCGGUUCGAAGCGAGUUCCGAAAUUUCGAGCAACAUGAUGAGCUGCAGACUCCUGAUGGUGCUGGCGGUGCUGCUGGUGGUGCAGGUGAGCCUGACCCUUGCGAGUCCCUGGGGCGGCGGUGUGCAAGUUGUCCACUCAGGCUACGUGGCUCGUCCUGUCGUCUACAGAGGCGGCUUUGAUCACGACGACGGCUUCGACAGCAACGAAUUCGACGACCACAGGUACAGGUCGUGGUAAUUCACCCCUCAAAUCCCUCCCAGACGUUGGCUGAACUUCUAGAUGACAUCCCGCUCGGACUUGCUGCGUUCCUCGAGAAUCCGAAUGAGAAUAAUAAACUUGUUGUAUGUG